UUCUCUUUACUUUCCCCCAAUUCAGAUUACCCCCGAACGUUUGGUUCCCCAAACUUUGAAUCUCCAAAUCCCCUAAAAUUUCCCUGAAUUGGAUAUCCUCAAAUCGAUUUCUCAGAAUCCCCAAAUCAAAAUACCUUUGAUUUUCGCCGAAGUCCUUUUGAUUUGCUCUGCUAAAAAUAUCAGUAGUUUUCCUAUAACCCUUAACCUCAUCUAUUUCCCAAAUUUUUUUUCUGUGAAUCUUCUUUGUAUCUUGCAUUCACCGGCAGUCUCCAGGAAGCUAUUGUCGUCAGAUCAGCUAAAAACUAUAGCCUGAAGUUCAAACAUUAAAAAUUUGCAGACGACAAUCUGCAAUGGUCCCAAAUGAAUAAGCCUGCCUGCCUGCCUGCAGAUGGUGCACCCUCAACACUUGUAUUUAACGCUUAUUAAGAGAGUAAGAUGGCAUCCUCUUUCAUAGCCAUGUCAUAAGUUGGCUCAUUCGUGGCACCUAAUGGUCUGGUCAUGGAUAAGAAGCUUUCAUCAUCUUCCAAUAGAUUGUCAUCUUUAGCUUCCAUUUAUUCUUUUUCAUUUCUUAGUAGACGAAAUGUUGUUCUUAGAAGAUCUCGUCUGCCCAAGAUUUCUGCAGCAAAAGAGCUACAUUUCAAUAAGAUGGGUCAGCCAUAAAGAAAUUACAAGAAACUGAAAUAAUGAAUAGAUUGAGCAUAUUCAUUAUUGAGAAUGAUGUUGCACUGCUGAUAUGGUGGCUACUUCAGCAAUAAAUUGACUCUUUUCUUGGUGAGAUGCUACUGAUAAUGUACCCUACAAGGUUGGAGCUCAAACUGAAACAGAGCUUAAAGAAAAGAAAUUAAGAGUAGAAGAUGCUCUUAAUGCAACUAAGGCAGUAGUUGAGGAAGGUAUUGUUGUCGGUGGUGGAUGUACUUUGCUGAGACUUGCUUCUAAGGUAGAUGCUAUCAAGGAUUCACUUGAUAAUGAUGAAGAAAAGCAAAGGCAGUAGAAGAUAUGGUGUUAUUGAAUGUGAUCCACUAGUUCGAAAAGGACUUGAGAAAACUGUUUGAGUUUUUGUUGGAUACAUGGUCCAGGAUUAGCUGAAUUUAUGUAUAGUGACGAUUUGUUUGAGCUAACUACUGAUCUUAAAGUAUGCAUUCUAUUGUUAUUUUGUUCUAUUUGUAUUUUGUUAGAUUUCUGGUGUAGUUUGAUAAGUGGGGUAUUUUGUUUUAUUGUUAUUGAUAAACUUUUUGUUUGGUGGGAUAUAUAUCUAUAUCAUAGAUAUUAUUCUUCUUCUCAAUAUUUUGAUAAUGAAUUUUAAUUUUUUUA